UACGUAGGAGGCGAGCGUUGUCCGGAAUACUGGGCGUAAAGCGUGCGCAGGCGGUUUUGUAAGACAGAGGUGAAAUCCCCCGGGCUCAACCUGGGAACUGCCUUUGUGACUGCAAAGCUCGAGUGCGGCAGAGGGGGAUGGAAUUCCGCGUGUAGCAGUGAAAUGCGUAGAUAUGCGGAGGAACACCGAUGGCGAAGGCAAUCCCCUGGGCCUGCACUGACGCUCAUGCACGAAAGCGUGGGGAGCAAACAGG
rnacentral:rRNA from 1 species